rnacentral:rRNA from 1 species
AACGAACGCUGGCGGCGCGCCUAAUACAUGCAAGUCGAGCGAGAAGACGUAGCAAUACGUUUGUAAAGCGGCGAACGGGUGAGGAAUACAUGGGUAACCUACCCUCGAGUGGGGAAUAACUAGCCGAAAGGUUAGCUAAUACCGCGUACGCUCCUUGGACUUCGGUUCAGGGAGGAAAGCGAUACCGUGGGUAUCGCGCUCAUGGAUGGGCUCAUGUCCUAUCAGCUUGUUGGUGAGGUAACGGCUCACCAAGGCUUCGACGGGUAGCUGGUCUGAGAGGACGAUCAGCCACACUGGCACUGCGACACGGGCCAGACUCCUACGGGAGGCAGCAGUAAGGAAUAUUGCGCAAUGGGCGAAAGCCUGACGCAGCGACGCCGCGUGGGGGAUGAAGGUC